rnacentral:misc_RNA from 1 species
GAUGAAGAACGUAGCGAAAUGCGAUAAGUAAUGUGAAUUGCAGAACUCAGUGAAUCAUCGAAUCUUUGAACGCACAUUGCGCCCGCCAGCAUUCUGGCGGGCAUGCCUGUUCGAGCGUCAUUUCAACCCUCGACCUCCCUUUGGGGAAGUCGGCGUUGGGGACCGGCAGCACACCGCCGGCCCUGGAAUGGAGUGGCGGCCCGUCCGCGGCGACCUCUGCGUAGUAAACCAACUCGCACCGGAACCCCGACGUGGCCACGCCGUAAAACACCCAACUUCUGAACGUUGACCUCGAAUCAGGUAGGACUACCCGCUGAACUUAAGCAUAUCAAUAAGCGGAGGA